CAUGAAUUAUUUGAAAUACUACAAUUAUUUGAUUUUCAGGAACACUCAGUCGCUGCUUUCACCCGUGUUCUUGAUGAGGCCAGUGUUGUUCUUCUCUUCAAAGACAAAGUCUAUCUUCAUCCUAAUAAGGUAUAUACAAGUGGGGAAUGCAGUUGCAUUUCUAGUAUCUAUGGCAUUCGGAAGUAUGUUGGCAAAGGGAAGCUAAGGAGUCUCAAAUAAUGAACCCUUGACAACAACUGAUCUGAAAUUCCCUCUGAGUCCUGCACAAUUGUUUGCGUGAAUAGCAUUGGAUUAAUUAACCAUUCUUAAAACCCAUUUCUGUUUGCAGAGUGCUGGUGGACUGGGCACUGGAAGUGAUAUUGGGCUGAUUGCGAGGUUCUACUGUGGGCCCUUUCUUGGUCCAUAUUUCCUCACACGACCCAUUAUGCUGUGGGCCCUUUUUAGGUGGAUUUCAGUUUGUAGUUAGUGGAUUAUUAAUCAUCUUGUGUGGUAAAGAUGAUGCUUGUGCAAGUUUUCUUUAACAUAUUCAAGAUCUUUAUGAGGUUGAUGUUGCCACAUCAACUCUCUGCUUCAUUUGCUGCUAUGAUGAUGGUUUUAUUUGCAUCUGAUUCUGUCUGUUUCUUUUACCAGUAUGUGAAUGUUUUAGUUGCAGCUGCGAAUCCAUGUAAUUUCUGUAUUUCUUGUCUUUUUUUAUUGAAACAGGAAUUAUCAUUAGUUUGCUCAUGUUUUCUAUUGAAUGAUUUUCAUUUACACCAGCAUGCUAUUUACUAGUUUCAUGCCUAUUUACAUGAUCAGGACAAAUGGCAGAACAUGGGUAUUAGUACUGGAAGUGUUUCAUUUAUCUGAAUAGUCCAUGGGAAAACAUUAUUAAAAAAAUUGUGGAGUACUUCAUUCGUUGAUUAUGUUUCUCAUGCAUAGAUUGUUAAAUUAUCCCAGGAUGACAAAUG